UCGAGAAUCUUCGGCAAUGGGCGCAAGCCUGACCGAGCGACGCCGCGUGGAGGACGAAGGCCUUCGGGUUGUAAACUCCUGUCGAGGGGGAGGAAGGGCAACUUGACCGAUCCCUGGAGGAAGCACGGGCUAAGUUCGUGCCAGCAGCCGCGGUAAGACGAACCGUGCGAACGUUAUUCGGAAUCACUGGGCUUAAAGCGCGUGUAGGUGGGUUGCCACGUCGGAUGCUGAAAUCCCUCGGCUCAACCGAGGAACGGGCACCGAUACGAGCGACCUGGAGGGGGGUAGGGGGAGCUGGAACUUCCGGUGGAGCGGUGAAAUGCGUUGAGAUCGGAAGGAACGCCCGUGGCGAAAGCGAGCUCCUGGACCUUUUCUGACACUGAGACGCGAAAGCUAGGGGAGCGAACG
rnacentral:rRNA from 1 species